CGCCCGGGCCAAGGUGCUACCGAGCCUUCUCGCCCGCACCUGCGUUCCCCGCUCUGUUCGUGGAGGACCGGGUGGCGCGGGGAGCCCCGCUCCUUGCCCUGCACGCACGUCCCAGCACAGGUCUCCGGCAGAAGCCCCGACAUCCUCUGGCCAGAGCAGCCACCUCCCCGAACCCGGGAAGUCUAGGGCCUGAACAAAACACUCCUUCCCUUCAGCAGCUUCCGCCUGCGGCCCGUCCCUUCCCCAGUCCUUCCCGGGCCUCUGUGCAAGGUGCAGCAGGGAGAAGCUGCUGUCAUGGGCAUGAUGAGGCUGGCAGAACAGCCAGGGAGAGCGCUAGCUACUUCCUCCCCUCCGCAGCAGAUAGCACCACACAGUACUGGGCCACCUUUGUGGGAACAGCAGCCACAGCCUCCACGGUUCAGAGGACCAGCCCUCACCCAGCGCUGCUGGGGUGGAAGAGUGUGUCACAGUGAGAAGGGCCAGCGGUGGAGCAGCAGCACAGGAAGGGGUGGGGGUGAGGGCCCAUACUGACCUAGAGGCCCUUUCUCACCACCAGGGACAGACCUCAGGCCCAGAGAUCUGCAGAGGAGUCCCCCAAGCACCACUGUGGUCCUUAAAGAGGCUUGCUCCUGGAUUGCCGAGACAGAAACCUGCCUGUCCUUGAGCAUUUGCAGGGCGGUAUGUGGAAUCCCACGGCAGGGACAUAACACGCAGUAGUGAGCUGCUAGGUCUGCUGGAUGUCUACAUCCCAGCAUUUUAAUCCCUUGUCAGGAGAUUUUGACCCUGUGCCAUAUUCCUGGAACUCCUGGGUCUUCCUGGAACCUGACAAAGGACCAAGAUCUCAACACCAUCCAGCAAACCCAGACACUUCCGGUCAGAGUUAAUAGUCAUCUGUCCAUGGUGGAUCAGUUGCUUAAGGUCACGCAUCUUCCCAAGCUCUCCGGUCCACAGAGAAGAGUAACACAUCACCCCUGCAGUUGGGUUUUUGGAUCUGCUCUCCACUUGCUGACCUGGGACUUGCCUUGGAACACGACAUCUGAACAUAAGUGAUACAGGAGUGGCUGGCACCCCGGUGCAUCUUGAAAGAAGGUUCUGACCUAAGAAGCCUGUUUUGGGGGCUGACCUGCACCCUGAAAGGCAUGUGAGUUCCCUGAGGGAGAGAGUCCGGGGGAUGUGUAGAGACAGGCCUGUGGAGCAGCACCGCCGGGACCUGUCCGCGGGGUGUGGCAGGUACAGAGUGGAACUCAGGCUUGCACAGGGUGAGUGAUAACGCACAGUGUAGACUCUAAGGGCUGGGUUCACUCUCUCUGCUCCAUCUCUCCAGCACAGAGCACAGGCUUGGGGAAAUUCUCCCUGGACUCGGGAAGGUCACCAGCUUCCCGGGUCUCAAAGACCCUCCUGAUCCCACCUAACGUCUCUGGGUGUGCUGACCAUGCAAGUUACCCCCACCUCUCCGGCUGUCCUGUGCUUCUCUCACGCUUCCCUGCAAAUAUAGUUGGUUACGGUGAGUAUUUGCACCACAGAAACUAGCAAGCAUGAAAGUCAGGGCUGCAUCUCACCCCCGAGGCUGGUUUUCAGACACCCAUCACGACACCACCAUUGGUUCUCAGUAUCUCCUGUGUCUACAUGGAUCACACGUGGUCAGCACUCAGGAAGCAGAGCAGUGGUCGUGGCAGCGGUGAAUUUGGGGAACUAAGGUCAUGUGAGGGUACUGGGGACACAUGCAGUGAGGUUCCAGACACUUCCGCAGAGCAAUUUCUUUCCUGCUCACUCGGGCUCCCAGGGUCGGAAAUGCGUCCUCUGCAAUGCUGCAUGAAUGAGUGAGUUCCUUGUUGCAAGUUCCGUUGGGGCAAGUCCUGGAGAGGCAGUGGGAACCAUGGGGGAAGGAGAAGCUGGCCGUUCUGCGGGUUUCUUGAUGCCCGCGGCCCACCGGGCUUCUCCCCUGCUCCGGUGGUUUCCUGCCCUGAGGACGCGCGUCUCUCUUCAGGGUGGGGAGGUGGUGAAUAGACACUAAGAAGGGACAUUGCCUGAGAGGCCAGAAGUGGUCUCUGCCGGGACACUCCAACAAACACCAAGGAGUUUCGAAGGUUGACUGGCGUUUCAAGGGAGCACAGAGUGAUUUGCCAGAAACGAAUCCGCUCAUGUAUCGCGUUUCUGUGCCGAUUGAUCGAAGGCGGUUGGAAGACCCAGGUCUGAGCCGCAGCUCUACGACCAGAAACAUCGCCGGGACCUCUCUGGGCCUUCACAUAAUUAUCUGGUGCGUCGUGAGGAGGACACUUGCCUGCCGCCUGGCCAGCACCGUCAUGUGGCGGCACAUUCUGGGGCGUGGGUGACGUACACAGGUGUGUCCAGCACGGAGCCAAGGAUGCUGGCAUCAGUGCUGCGAAGGGCGGUCUGGGGAGUGUGGCCUGGAGGAGGGAGCCCCGAGCGCGGGUCACCCUCAAGGGCAACUGGGGGACAGGCGUGGAUGCCAGACUCUCCCCGGAGACCCCUUUGUACCUUCUGAAUUUUGAACC